rnacentral:rRNA from 1 species
CACAGGUCUCUGCUAAACCGUAAGGUGAUGUAUAGGGGCUGACGCCUGCCCGGUGCUGGAAGGUUAAGAGGAGUGGUUAGCUUCUGCGAAGCUACGAAUCGAAGCCCCAGUAAACGGCGGCCGUAACUAUAACGGUCCUAAGGUAGCGAAAUUCCUUGUCGGGUAAGUUCCGACCCGCACGAAAGGCGUAACGAUUUGGGCACUGUCUCAACGAGAGACUCGGUGAAAUCAUAGUACCUGUGAAGAUGCAGGUUACCCGCGACAGGACGGAAAGACCCCGUGGAGCUUUACUGUAGCCUGAUAUUGAAAUUCGGCACAGCUUGUACAGGAUAGGUAGGAGCCUUUGAAACGUGAGCGCUAGCUUACGUGGAGGCGCUGGUGGG